rnacentral:lncRNA from 10 species
GGGAGCUUAGGAAGGGAGAGCCAGGAAGACAGCAGCCUCUCCUGCCGCCCAACGUGCCCAGCUGCAGCGAGGAGGGGCGGCGCGCAAGCCGGCUGGACCCGGGCGGUCCCCACGUUGCGCCCACCCUCCGGGCCAAAACGCCGCCGCUCGGGUCACUGAGUGGCCGCCCACGGAAGAAGUCAGAUCGCCGGGCUCUGGGCUGCGUACGGGAUCCGAGGAAGGGGGAUUCAAACGCGGAUCCGGAAGGAAGGGACACUGAACCCCGCAGCGUCCCCAGCGCCGUGGGGCGGCGGGACGUGUCCUUGGGCUGCCAGCGGGCGCGGAAGCUGGAGUCCGGCAGGGUCGGGAAGAAGUGAGCACAGACUUCCACGGGUAGAAGAGUCAGAUUAAACAGAAAUGUGAAAAGCAACCCAGGGCAGCCAACGGAGCCCAGCAGCGUAGAAGCCACCGGCUUCCCGCCGGGAGGACUACAGUGACUGACACUCGCGAAGACUAGGCGCUCCCAGCGGCCGCGGGUCUGCGUGGAGAAGUCGCCUCGCGGCGCGGAGCGCGCCAGCGGCGGCGGCGGCUGCCAGAGCGCGAGAUGCGGCGCGCAGCCGCCGGACCGUCCCGGCUGGGAAAACUCGCGGGCGGCACUGCGCAGCGCUGACCCGGCGCAGGUCCGAGGGG